UGUGACCCCCCCACGUGCCCCCCCAGCCUGGCCUGUUGCUGCCACUCCUUCCACUACGUCAAGCGGCUGCUGGAGACGCUCUUCGUGCACCGGUUCUCGCACGGAACGAUGCCCCUGCGCAACAUCUUCAAGAACUGCACCUACUACUGGGGCUUCGCUGCCUGGAUGGCCUAUUACAUCAACCACCCGCUCUACACCCCGCCAGCCUACGGUGACGAGCAGGU